AUUGAACGCUGGCGGCAGGCCUAACACAUGCAAGUCGAGCGGCAGCAGCGAGCUUGCUCCCUGCUUCUGCGGCGGAGGGGUGAGUAACGUCAUGAACCAUGCCUGCCUCCGUUGCCUAACGUGCGGAAGUAGGGGCAAAUACCCCAACCCCCCAGAGGGCGCACGGGGGGCAGCCUUGGACCUCGCGCCCUUCGCUGAGCCUAGGAGGCGUUAUCGAGUUGGUGGGGCAAAGGCGUACCAAGGCGACGACCCGUAACUCGUCUGCGAGGAUGAUCAGUCACACUGGAACUGAGACACGGUCCAGACUCCUACGGGAGGCAGCAGUGGGGAAUAUUGGACAAUGGGCGAAAGCCUGAUCCAGCCAUGCCGCGUGUGUGAAGAAGGUCUUCGGAUUGUAAAGAACUUUAAUUGGGAAAGAAGGGCAGUAGGUUAAUACCUUGCUGUUUUGACGGUACCCACAGAAUAAGCACCGGCUAACUUCGUG
rnacentral:rRNA from 1 species